rnacentral:rRNA from 1 species
UACGAAGGGGCUAGCGUUGCUCGGAAUCACUGGGCGUAAAGCGCACGUAGGCGGAUCGCUAAGUCAGGGUGAAUCCUGGAGCUCAACUCCAGAACUGCCUUGAUACUGGCAAUCUCGAGUCCGGAGAGGUGAGUGGAACUGCGAGUGUAGAGGUGAAAUUCGUAGAUAUUCGCAAGAACACCAGUGGCGAAGGCGGCUCACUGGCCCGGUACUGACGCUGAGGUGCGAAAGCGUGGGAGCAACAGG